rnacentral:rRNA from 1 species
UACGUAGUGUGCGAGCGUUAAUCGGAAUUACUGGGCGUAAAGCGUGCGCAGGCGGUUGGUUAAGUCUGAUGUGAAAGCCCCGAGCUCAACUUGGGAAUGGCAUUGGAAACUGGCUGGCUAGAGUGUGGCAGAGGGGGGUGGAAUUCCGCGUGUAGCAGUGAAAUGCGUAGAGAUGCGGAGGAACACCGAUGGCGAAGGCAGCCCCCUGGGCUAGCACUGACGCUCAGGCACGAAAGCGUGGGGAGCAAACAGG